GGCUCCACAGCGUAGUGGUUAGCACGUCUGCUUUACACGCAGAAGGUCCUAGGUUCGUGCCUCAGGUGGAGUCA
rfam:Pteropus alecto contig55051, whole genome shotgun sequence.